CUGACAGAUUCAACAUCCAAACAUCCACCGUGCUGAACAGGGCAUAAUUGCAGUUUGGGGGCUACUUCCUCAUACAAAUACUAACGGAGAAGCUCAACCUGGUGAACAGUGUGCUAUUUACUGGUGGAUGGGCUAAAACUGGUUUAUACUAUGAGACUGUGCAGGAGAUUUUCAAGGUGUUUAACUGUUUUUGCGAUUUAUGCUAUUUUUAUUUUUCUGACCUGAUAUCCACAUUAGUAAAAAAAAAAAAAAAAAGGGAAAGAAAGUGCCUUUUGUGAAUUAUGAUUACUGGGAGCUACACAUGACACACAUGGACUAUGGAAAUCAAUCCAGAUUGUCCCAGUCAUGGGCCCUUUUAAGAUGGAGCAUAGCAAAAGAAACCACACUAAUUGGAUUACUAGACCAUCUGUUUUUCUUUUUCUCCAUGAAUUUCAGUUCCUCCUAAAUCUAGGGUCCUAGACUAAUGUCCCAAGGAAUUCCUGGAAAAAAUCAGCAGGUACACCCAAAGUUUUCAUUAGUUUAAUGUGUGAUUACUCAUUAUAUCUGUUUGUCAUUGUCUGUGACAUUCUUCUUUUGGUCUUAAAUAAUUUAGCAAGAUUAGGAUUUUGGCCUGAGUUUCUUAUUACUUCUGCUAGUCAACAGAGGGUUUUUGCUGUCCAAGUCUUCGAGUUGCAUAGAUUGAUAAAUAUGCUUGGAUGGCAUGCUUGCUUCUACUGUAAAGCCUUCUUCCUUCAAGCCCAUACCUGCUGUCUUUUCUUUUUCUGCAUUAACUUUUCUUCCUAGCUUCAUUUUAGAACUAAUUUAACUUUUCUUCCUAGGUUCAUAUUUACGAUUCACGGUCUUUCAUUGGUGGAAAAGUGGGCUCAUUUGUAGAUAAGUGUGGGAAUCACAUCGAGAUGGGACUUCAUGUCUUUUUCGGUUGCUACAGCAACCUUUUUCGCCUGAUGAAAAAGGUGAAAUCCCCAUCCUUUGUCAUAAGACUCAUAAUCUCUGGACCCAGAAAUGUGAACCAUCUCCAGUGAGUUGAGGCAUAUCUUCAUCACUCAGUAUUGAUUUAUGAAAGCUGGGGUAGAUUAUUCCUUAAAGGAAUGACUGUUUGUGAUAUGAGAAUUGAUGUAUGGUCAAUAGUCCCAAACCAAAUUGUACUUAACCGAAAAAUUUCUACGGUGAGAUGGAUAGUAUAAUUAGGAGUUAGUUCUAUC